GAUGAACGCUAGCUACAGGCUUAACACAUGCAAGUCGAGGGGAAACGGCAUUACGUGCUUGCACUUUUUGGACGUCGACCGGCGCACGGGUGAGUAACGCGUAUCCAACCUUCCCAUGACUAAGGGAUAACCUGCCGAAAGGCAGACUAAUACCUUAUGGUCUUCACUGACGGCAUCAGAUGUGCAGUAAAGAUUUAUCGGUUAUGGAUGGGGAUGCGUCUGAUUAGCUUGUUGGCGGGGUAACGGCCCACCAAGGCAACGAUCAGUAGGGGUUCUGAGAGGAAGGUCCCCCACAUUGGAACUGAGACACGGUCCAAACGCCUACGGGAGGCAGCAGUGAGGAAUAUUGGUCAAGGGGCGAGAGCCUGAACCAGCCAAGUAGCGUGCAGGAUGACGGCCCUAUGGGUUGUAAACUGCUUUUGUAUGGGGAUAAAGUCAAUCACGUGUGAUUGUUUGCAGGUACCAUACGAAUAAGGACCGGCUAAUUCCGUG
rnacentral:rRNA from 1 species